GAAUCCCGUUUCCUCCUGGAGCCUUUCCUGAUUGAUAUGCUUCGAGCCAUCUUAACGCCCCAGGCCUGCUGGUAUCAGAGUCAUCCACCACCUCACUUCCACUGCAGAGGGCUGGAGGGAGAUUCGGCAAAUCAGGGCAGGGUCCAGGAGAAGCCCCAGUGAGCUCUUUCCGGGAAGCCCAUUCUCCCUCUGGACCUUCAAGGAGCCACGCUUACCUGCUCUUUCCCCUGGGAGAGCUUUCAGUACAGAAACUGAGGAACGACCAUAAGAGAACAUAGCAGGCG